CCUACGGGAGGCAGCAGUGAGGAAUAUUGGUCAAUGGACGAGAGUCUGAACCAGCCAAGUAGCGUGAAGGAUGACUGCCCUAUGGGUUGUAAACUUCUUUUAUAUGGGAAUAAAAUGUUCCACGUGUGGGAUUUUGUAUGUACCAUAUGAAUAAGGAUCGGCUAACUCGGUGCCAGCAGCCGCGGUAAUACGGAGGAUCCGAGCGUUAUCCGGAUUUAUUGGGUUUAAAGGGAGCGUAGGUGGAUUGUUAAGUCAGUUGUGAAAGUUUGCGGCUCAACCGUAAAAUUGCAGUUGAAACUGGCAGUCUAGAGGACAGUAGAGGUGGGCGGAAUUCGUGGUGUAGCGGUGAAAUGCUUAGAUAGCACGAAGAACUCCGAUUGCGAAGGCAGCUCACUGGACUGCAACUGACACUGAGGCUCGAAAGUGUGGGUAUCAAACAGGAUUAGAUACCCGUGUAGUC
rnacentral:rRNA from 1 species